rnacentral:tRNA from 1 species
GGGGAUUUAGCUCAGCGGCAUAAGCGCCUGCCUUGCAAGCAGGCAGUCCUGAGUUCAAUCCCUA